rnacentral:lncRNA from 10 species
CAUAUAAGCAGCCGUGAUGAACACAGCUGUCAGCUGCCUGUGGGCCGAGAAGAUGGCUGCCCAUGUGCAGUGAUUUCAGUAGGCCUGGGCCCUUCCAUCUGCCCAUGCUGCCCCCAUCUCCUGAUUUGUGAAAUUCAUCAGGUGUGCACCCUUCUAAUGGCUGCUCCGAUGAAAACAGUAAAAACCCAUCAAGCCAGACCAAGAGGAGUGACCUACUUAUAUCAGAUUGUGUUAACUUUCUGAGAAGAGACAGACUCAGACCCAGAGAGGAGAACACCAUGUGGAGAUGGAGGCAGAGGUUGGAGUGAUGCACCUACAAGCCAAGGAACACUGUGGAUGGCAGCAGCUGCCAGAAGCCAGGAGAGAGGCAUGGAGCAGGUGCUCCCUCAGAGUCACCAGCAGGAACCAACCCUGCUGACACUUUGAUUUCAAACCUCUGUCUUCCAGAACGGUGAUAGAAUAAAUUUCUGUUGUUUUAAGCCAUCCAAGUCUGUGGUAAUUUACUAUGGCAGCUCUAGGAAACUAACACUAGUGUAGGAUAAAAAAUUUUCUCAACUCUGUCCCCUUGUUUUCUCUCAUUAUGAUGCCUAUCACUGGCCGGACCCAACUGGAAGCUGGAAAGCAAGGGAACUGUGAUGUGGUCCCUGGAGGUCAGCCUCUAGGUGCAAUGCAGAGCAGAGAAUGGAUGGAGGGUGACUAUAAAUGGAGAAUAAUCCAGGCUUCUAUCUUCUUCAAGUUCAGAGUCAGGUGGAAGAUGACAUGAACCCCAAAGGCUCUGGAGAAACUGCUGUCUCGACCCCUCUUUUCCACCCCUUGCACCUGGUUCUGUUGUGAACACAAGCAGGCUGAGAACACAGCUUGUUCCUCAAAACUGCAUCUUGGACAAGAAAUUGACUUUCCCCGGGGAACAAUGUUAUAAACAGGCGAGGAGUGGUAUGUGCGUGCCGAAGAAAGAGAUGAUGUAGAAGUUAAAAGGCUGGAGAACAAUAAACAUGAAAAGCAGUUCAACGUCAUUUGUAAGCAAGCCAACUCAAGUAAAAAUAACACUGAAAUGAAUUCAUUGCCACCCUUCAGGUUGGCACAGAAGGAUGUGAUGGCUGUCUCCCAGGGCUGGUGAAGGCAGGGGGAAGAAGACUCACUCUCUACUGCUGCAGGACUGGUUGUGGAUUCGGUGAGGCGUAAAGACCCCAGCACAGUGCUGGCUCCCUUUCUCUUCCUGCUCAGCUCCUUUCCCGACAUCUGCAACUUGCAUUGUAAAGCAAAAGACAGGGAAAAGUCAAGGUUCAGCAUCAAUGUCUCAGUGCUGUGCAGUGUUAUUUGCAUAAACCUUCCCAUUCACUGAUGGAAACCCCUGGCAUGUUCAUGCCAAGCAUUCUUAGCAGUACACAUACCUGGGGCAGAUCAAGUGCUAUCAUGAGAAAAUUGACUGCAUUAAAUCACACAGGUCUUAAGGGAAGUGGAAGGGCAGGGUGGGAACUGAUAGCUAAGAACAACAUUUGCACCUUAUGACAAUUGCCUCAUCAUUGUAAUCCCAUUGGGGAAACCUAUACAAAUAUGACUAGUGUAGCUGCAGUGUGUGUUCUGCCCAUAGCUCCUCAGGUAUUUUCACCAUUUCCACCUGUGCCAACCUGAUGUCUGGUAACUGAUACUUUCAUCUUUGUUGUGGUUUGCCUUCAGAGUACAGAAAACCCCUUUGUCCCUGUAAACAGCCAGCAGGAAGUGCCUAUGAAUUAAUCACGCUUAACCACUGACAAGUGGUUUAUGAGUGUUGGUCAAGAAUAUUCAGCUCCCUGGCCAAAAUAAUUCUGAACCCUAUUUUGUGCUAUUUACCAGAGCGCCCCCAGGGGAUUAAGCUUUAAUCUUCCACUGUUGUAGCUGGCUGAAUAAUGGUUGCCUUCCCCUCCCAUACCACUUGCCCUCCUUCCUACCCCUGUUCCUUGCACCUCCCUAUAGGUGGCUUGUCCUCAGAGACUUGGCUCAAAGUCUGCUUCUGGGGCAAUAUAAACUAAGACAAGUGGCAAGCGAGGCCUGCUUAGCCCAUGUUUUCCAGAUAUACAUUUUGAGACUCAGGGACUGGGCUAACUUUGGUCACUUGCUCCUUGUUUUUUUGUGUUAAUCCAUCACCAACAGUUGCACAGCUCAUUCAUAACAUCCACAUAAUGAAAUCAUGUAUCCAGCAAGGGUUGAUAGGUGUAAAUUAUUAACAGUUAUUAAAUACUUUUAUUAUACUCACUUAACUACAGCAGAAAAUGGGGAACUAAGGAUAAGUAACUUGUCAGGAUCACACAGUAGGUGAAGGAGCCGGAUUUCAAACCCAGCACCUAUAUUUUGAACCCCCAUUUGUAAUGACUGUACCAUACUGUACCCUUAAUAGAAUGAUGCCUGCUCUACUGUUUUGUGUCAAACCUUAUUGCCAUUCUUCUUAUAAGUCUUUUGUUUCAUGUAAGUGAACAGAGAAAUAAACAUACAGGCCCAUGGGGAUGUAGAUGGCCAAGUGAGAGGGAGGCUAAAUAGGCAGAGCUCUCUAGAGUUCCCAUCCCUUUUCAACCAAGAAAUUCCAUAUUCAUAUGUUAUAUGAGUACAUUCUCUAUAGGAUGUCACAGGGUACUGGGGAAGUGUUUGGCAGCCACCAGUGUGGUAAGACAUGACCUAUUUUGCACUGUAGCUCUGCGGGGACUCAGGUGUGGAAAUAGAGUCUUCGGAUGGGGGUGUGGGAUCACUAGGAAGCCAUAGGAGGAGCAGGAGAUGAGGUUACUUGUAUCAGAGACUAAGGGACAUUCAGAGCAAGAGAGGCUGGUGGGUUUAAAGAGAUAUUUG